rnacentral:siRNA from 1 species
AUUUUGUUCCCGAUGCGAUGUCAU